rnacentral:misc_RNA from 1 species
AAAUGCGUGGGUGGACAGGCUCCCUGCUUGUGCAGCGAACUGUUUUACCCAUGUAUCUUCAUUUUCUCUCAAUUGCUUUCAAAGCAUAUUUGGGAUUCAUUUGGUUUCUGUGUUGUCUACCUCAAAUGGAAAUUGUGACCUAUCUUUGUGAUAUGACCUCUGGAACCCUUUUUGGGAACUCGGCGGUUUAUGCAAUUAUUUGCACAAUCCAUUCACUCGCUACUAUUUCAUGUAUUGGGUGGCAUGGCCUAUGUAAAUACAUUGGUGCUCCUGGAUGCAGAACAUUAUGGAGGGUAAUGGGGCUUGUUCCCUAUUAACCCAAGCUGAGCACUAUGCUCCGCAAGUACGACAACUGUGGUUGUGUUGACCCUCCCAACAUUUUUGAUGGGAGGGCUCAUGCGAUGCCAGUGUCAUAAAGAAUGCUACCUGGUUGAUCCUGCCAGUAGUCAUAUGC